CUUUCUUCUCCCUAGAUUUUACAGAUUCAUGGCCCAUUGUUUCAUACCAGCAGAACCUGGUUAUAGACAAAAGCUGAAAAACAUGCAAAAGCACUGAAGUAUUCUACAAGAAAACACCAAAAGUUUCCGCAUCAGAGUUGCUCUUUCAAGACUUCUGACAACACGUUCUACACCUCAUCCCUCUGAGAUUUUGGAAGAAAGAAGGCAAAGUGGACACCGGGAAGCAAAAAGGAGUGAGAGAAUGAAGAAUCCCUCUCUUACUCCUGCUGUAUCUCUUCUUUGCUCCUAUCACUGACCUGAGUUAGACUGACCUGAGUUAGACUGAUUUGCAUGUGAAUGGAAGUUGGGGUUGGGCUCAAACCUCAGUCAGAACCUGGACUUUUUGCGCAAUAUAGUCAUAGCCUUAGAAGCUGUAUUGGAUCAUUGGAUGUUUCCCACCCCUGGCUGAGCAAUAGAAGGAACAGAGGGAAUUCUGUAGGAUUCAUGUUACUGAAAAUAGCAUUACCCCUUAUUUAACUCCUACAAGAAUCCUGAAUAAUCCCACAGGUAGAGCUCAAUGUAAAUGAUGGGUGCAAUAAUCAAAUGCUCAACAUUGAUAUACUUCUCCGCCUACUGAAGUAAACAGUGAAACUUCCUCUAAUUUCAGUGGUACCAGAGUUAGUCUAGUGCAGACGACUAUGAAAAAUCCCACCCUUGAUGCUUAAAUAUAAUAAUGAUGAGAACUGUCUCAUAUUAAAAUGCUUAUUUCAUCCCAUUGCUAUAUGGAACUUUUGUAUGCAUUAGGCAACUCUUCCCCCAUGCAGAUUUGGAAGUAAAAACCCCUGCAGAUAUUUUCAAACUCCCCUCAGAACAUCUGCUGUCCUUGACAAUGACUCACCUCACCACUCCAAGUCUGUCCUCUCUUUUUCAUGUAACCCGUUAAUCCAUUUUCUCUUGCAGUAAUUGUUACUAUUACAGACAUUCUGUUAACAGAGACCACCUGGGGAUUACUAUAUGGCAAUAUGUUGAUAAGGCUUACGUUCUGUCACAUCGUGUGAACAAUCUUCAAAACUUUUGGAUGCAUGUUCACUACAUUUUUCUUGAUGCUCUCAUCUUAUGUUUAUUUUCAGUCUCACCUUGGCUUUAUUUUUAUGCACUUCAUGGUUGUUGUACAUUUUGUUUGUUACUUUUUUGUUUGGUGUUCAGGCAAAGCCUAAAGCUGUGAUUUUCCCCCCCCAAGAGGA